GAUGAACGCUGGCGGCGUGCCUAAUACAUGCAAGUCGAGCGAACAGACGAGGAGCUUGCUCCUCUGACGUUAGCGGCGGACGGGUGAGUAACACGUGGAUAACCUACCUAUAAGACUGGGAUAACUUCGGGAAACCGGAGCUAAUACCGGAUAAUAUAUUGAACCGCAUGGUUCAAUAGUGAAAGACGGUUUUGUUGUCACUUAUACAUGGAUCCGCGCCGCAUUAGCUAGUUGGUAAGGUACCGGGUUACCAAGGCGUCGAUGCGUAGCCGACCUGAGAGGGGGAUCGGCCACACUGGAACGGAGACACGGUCCAGAGUCCUACGGGAGGCAGCAGUAGGGAAUCGUCCGCAAUGGGCGAAAGCCUGGCGGAGCAACGCCGCGUGAGUGAUGAAGGUCUUCGGAGCGUAAAACUCUGUUAUUAGGGAAGAACAAAUGUGUAAGUAACUAUGCACGUCUUGACGGUACCUAAUCAGAAAGCCACGGCUAACUACGUG
rnacentral:rRNA from 1 species